rnacentral:lncRNA from 1 species
GUGGCUUUAGAGUAUCAGAUAAUUUUAAAAAAUGAUAUAAAAUAAUGAAGUGAUUCAUACUCCAGAGAUUCAUCAUCUCCUUUUCUGGGAUAGGGCAUCUGAUGUACAAAUAAGGGCAAAUGACCAGGGGGCACAGAUUGUCAGACCUGAAACAGCAGUGUUCACUGGAGAAGUUUCAGACUGUAGGGGUAGCAGGCACGUGGGCACCUUUGGCCUGUUUAUUCUAGGCCAGCACAGAGUUCUAGCAAAGCCAGACUUCAGAUUGCCUGAGAGGGGCUUUCACCUGCAUAAUUAGGGAUGCUCCAGCCCCUCUCCUAGAGUGGUAAGAGGCCAUGAUACAAUAGCACUAUGACGUGAUGGAAUCUUGGCAGCAGCCCUAGCCCUUACCUAGAGAAUGGCAAAGCUGCAGAAGAAACUGCCAAUGGAGUGCUCAACUCCAGAAGCCUGAAACCUAGGUCGGCUUGGCAAGGUGCCUUGCGCCCCAGUGUCAUGGCUGCGGUGGAGCCGCCCACUUCAAGGGGCCCUGCAGAAUCAGACAGUGAGGAUAGUGGCAGCAAUCACAAUGGGCUGAAGAUUAAAUAACUCUUGUUGACUUUUUCAAGUAUUUAUAAGCUCCCCAGAUUCCCAUGGAAGUCUACAGAAGGACAUAAUGAGAAAAGUAGGUUUAAAGGAAAUAAUGUGAAAUUUCUUCCACACUUGAGUUGGUGAGUUAAACGCCACUUAGUCUAUAUGUGGUUUAAAUGUUGUCCCAUUGCCUCAUUAUGGCCUGAUGUAAAUUCAUAUGAAACUAGGAUAUUUAAAAGCUUAUUGGGAUAGCAAAAUAGAGUUGAUGUAUUCACUGCAAAGAUUAUGGAGACCAUUUAUUGCUCUGAACAUUUCAAUAUGUUGGCUUCUUGAGAUUCCAACCCCAAGGGGACAUGAUAGUGAUGAAGAUGGAGAAAUAGAAGUUUAAACAGCACAAUUUGAAGAGGGGGCAAAAGUAACACUUUGAUGAACCUAGACCAUAUAGACCAGUAUAAGGUCAGCAAAGUCUGGAGGACCAUGUGCUCUCUCCCUAGAUUGGACCAGAAGCCCAGGCUCUACUUUUAGGAAAUGGCUCAGAGAGCGCCCACUGAACUUGUCUCUGAUGUCUUAGGCAGAUCAAAUGCUUCUCUGGUCUCUGCUUUCACAGAUGGAGGAUCAGGGGUGUGUGAGCACCACCCCGCUUGGUCUUGGAGACGGAUCAAAUCCAGACUGAUGAAGAUAUCAGUUCUGAUGAAGAAAGCAAAACAUAAGGAGGUUAAGGAACUCGUCCUUAGGCAGAUACCUGUGACUAUGGCUGAGAUUUCUGUGACACCCUUUUCCACUAUCUCAGAAUAAUUAUUAACAUAAGACCUGAGCAGCAUCUAUCGGUUAAUAAUGAAUGGCAAUGGGGACAAAAUCAUAUAUUCUUCUUCAUAUAGAGCAAGCUUAAAACAACAACAACACUGGAAUAAAACAAGGAUGCUUACUUUCGCCACUCUUACUCAACAUAGGACUGGAAGUCCUAGCCAGAUCAAUCAGGCAAGAGGAAGAAAUAAAAGGCAUACAAACUGGAAAAAAGGAAGUCCAAUUGUUCCUCUUUUCAGAUGACAUGAUCUUAAUAUACAGAAAAACCUAAAGA